GUUAACUUAUGUGUAACUGACAGAACUUAUACGAAAAUAUAUUUUUGUACAAAGAGCUAUUUCUGACUCCAGGUCUUCUGAAUUGAUCAUAAAAUAAAAUAUCAGUUGUUCAAAAUGUUGUUCACUAAAACCGGUGUUUAUUAGGAAUAUAUUAUAGACACAUGUUGGCCAUAUCAUUUAAAAUCUCUACUAAUACACUGUGCCUUUGUGGUUGCUUCACAGUAUCUGGAAACCUUCACGAUCUUUGCAUAUAUUUGGAAGAAGAAGUUAUCACUGAGCUACAAUUGGGGUUUUCAGUCUCCUUGCUUAAUAUUCAGCUCAGCAGGGAGAGCGCUAUGUUCACAUUUGUUGUAGCUGGAGGCUAUUCUCUGAACAGCUUCUUAAGAGUUUUGAAGUGAGUACAUACCGAGAAGAACAGUUGUGGAAACCCGCAGAAAAGAAAAACCAUUCACAUAAUCUCCCUGCAGAUCACACAGCCCAAACCAGCAUUACACUGUGGUCUUUCUUAAUAUUACCUACUAGUUACAAGCAGAGACGUUUUUUAAAAGGGGUGUGAUACCAAUUCAAGCUGUGUUUCCCAUUGCUCUCAGUUUUGUACUUGCAGUAUCUAAAUCUUCCUGUCAUGACUUAAAGAUAUCUACAAGCUCCAGCAUUUGACACACUCUUUCUAAGAAAAAAAAGAAAUACCUCUGUUUUUCUUGUUCUAUGUUUGAUCGUUUAGAAAACAUUGUAAAUCCACGCUACACCUUUCUCUCUGCAUGCUACCUUUUUGGAAAACCUCCAGGUCAAAUCACAAUAUACACCUCCGGCACCUCGGGACUGGAUCUUCAGGCCUGCAGUCUCAGCUCCGUGAUGGGUGAUGAGAACAGUCAGUGGUUAAGAACUGGAUAAGCUCAAAGGCUACACAGCAGAACAUUUCACUAGUCACAACCCCCCCCCCCUGUAUUUCUGUGAGUGAAUGUACUGCAGAUGUUUUCGUUUCCAUUAGGCCCAGCACCUCGCAGCUGUCUCCUGCUCAGCUUCGAGCACAUUCCAGGGAACAGAGCAGGAUCUCAGGUUACACUCAGGCAGCAUCUUGCCUACCUCAGACUCAUGCUGAGACUUAAUUUCCUUUUCCCACGUUCCCAUAAAUUAUUCUUUAUGUGAAAUGAUUUAUCAGCAUGCUCCUUAGCUUUCCUCAGUGCUCCCGAGACAUGAUUUGUACCUGCUGAGUGGGAAGGAAUUUUCUUAUCUAAAUUCUUGGUACUUGAGCUACUGGAUGAGCUCGAACAGUAAUACUGCUGUGAUACAUAAGUAGAGAAUCAGAAUUGGUAUUGGUACUUCCUUGCCCUUAAAAAGGCUCAGGGAACUGCAUCGGAUCCUUGCAUUAUAUUUUAAUUUGAUAUAGCAAAUCCCAAAGCUAGAAGAGCUGCAGCCCCUGGAACAUGAAGCACACAGCAUCCUACAAAGGGAGACAGUGUGCAGUGGCAUGAAUCCCAACAACUUAAUCCUCAUCUUAUGUCAUGCCUGCAAGAUUCCUCAAAGAAAAGUUUUCAGAGGGAGAAUGGACCUUAGCUGCACCUCGCACUGUGGUCUGGGAGGGAUAAUCCUUGCUGUAGGAGAAGGAGUUUCAGAUGUGCCUGUGCUUAUCCCCCACUCUCCCUGCAUUAGUCAGUGCUGUGCUUUGAGCUGGCUGCAGGGCAGGUGAUCUGAUAAUGCUCUGUGUCCCCCAGAACGCCUGCAGGGAAGCUGGGUUACUGCUCAAACAAACUAAGGUACAAAUAGGUCUUCCCUUUCUGUGUAUGUGUAUGCUUUGAAAAAGAAGUAAGCUACUAAAAAUGAAUUUCUGAGAAAAAUACCCAGUACCUUUGGUGUUCUGCUGCCAUUGUGCUACCAGGAUAAACAAGGAGGACAGAGAGCAACCACAUCCACCUGGCUGAGCACUACCACUCUAUCUAUGCCCACAACAGGAUGGAGAAAUGGCUCCCCUCGACAUCAACAUGCACUGCUGUAACAUACAGCUGUCCUGAGGCAGUGGAAGCAACAUCAGAGAUGGAGAAAUGUUACUGACACAGGCGACGGGUAACAAGAACAAAACUGAGUAUAAAUUGAGUCCAAGGAAUUGUUUUAAGUUCACAGAACUUGAAUAAAUGGGCAUAAAUAAAGAAUGUGUCACUGGUUGGCCAAAAGAAUUGGCAAAUGUAAGCCUUAUCUUCACGUUGGCUGUGUCAACAUGCUUAAGUGGUGAAUUGUGAAAAAUUAAGAAAAUGAAGCAUGCCCAUACAGCCCAACGUCAACAUGGGUAGCAGUUGCCAGAUCAUCUAAGCACUGUUUCACAGGGCUGAUUUAGAAUCAUAGGAACACAGAAUUCUUAAGGUUGGAAAAGACCUCUGAAGUCAUCUAGUCCAACCAUCACUCCAUCCCCGCCAUGCACACUAUGUCCCUCAGUGCCACGUCUACAUGGUUCUUGAACACUUCCAGGGACAGUGACUCCACCACUUGCCUGGGCAGCCUGUUUCAAUGCUUGACCACUCUUUCUGAGCAGAAUUUUUCCUAAUAUCCAAGCAGAACCUCCCCUGGCACAACUUAAGGCCAUCAUCUCUUGUAGUAUCGCUAAUUACCUGGGAGAAGAGGCCGACCCCCAGGUCCUUUCACGGAGCUGUAAAGAGAGAACAUGCAGCAUGGUUGUCGUUGGGAUGAGAAUAUGAUUGUAACCACAAACCUGGUUGACUUGAAAUAGCCGCCUGAGCUGCUGACUUCUUUUGCUUAGGUCACCUCAAAAGGCCUUUUCUUAGGAGUAUGUUAGUAUUAUAUGAGAGAUUUGAGAACACUUUAAAAACAUUAGAUUUGGCCACAUCUCUGUGGCCAGAGUGGGUGCUGUCAAACAACUGUCUCAGGUGCAUGUAGCCAGGACCAUGGACCCUCCCAGGUGAGGUGCUCAGGCAUUUGCUGCCAUAGCAGGGCAAGGGAGGUGGUUGUCCCCCUCUACUCUGCCUUGGUAAGGUAGUCUGGAGUACUGUAUCCAAACCUGGGGCCCCCAGUACAGGAGGGAUGUGGAGCUGUUGGAGCAGGUCCAGAGGAGGGCCACGAAGAUGAACAGAGGGCUGGAGCACCUCUCCUAUGAGGAAAGACUGAGGGAACUGGGUUUCCAGACUGGAAAAGAGAAGGCACUGGGGGGGACCUCACUGUGGCCUUCCAGUACUUGAAAGGAGCUUAUAAACAGGAGGGAGAGGCUGACUUUUUGUACAGUCUAAUAGUGAUAGGACAAGAGGAAACGGCUUUAAACUAAAAGAGGGGAGAUUUACGUUAGAUGUUAGGAAGAAAUUCUUUACUCAGAGGAUGGUGAGGCACUAUCACAGGCUGCCCUGAGACGCUGUGGAUGCCUCAUCCCUGGAGAUAUUCAACACCAGUCUGGAUGGGGCACUGGGCAGCCUGAUCUGGUGUGUGGCAGCCCUGCCCAUGGCAAGGGGUUGGAAACAGAUGGUCUUUACAGUCCCUUCCAACCCAAGCCAUUCUUCGAUUCUACGAUUCUACUUCAGUAGCUUCUCCAAGUGCUCUAUGCACAUGAAAGUGAUGCUCGGCUGACAUCAACGCCCACUUCUUUUGGGCCCCGGCAUCCCACUCGGUGUUUGCGAGGUCAUUUUUCUGUGCCAUCCGCAAGGUUCAGCUGGCAGGGUGUUCUGAAUACCUGUACCUUUGGAAGGCUGAUGUAGGAGGGAACACGAGGGCGGCGAUCCCGAACCCGCACCGUUCCAGGUAACGCGGACCCCGCGGUUUGCCCUGGCGCCUCCCGGGCGCGGCGCCAGGCGAGACCCGACCGCGG
ensembl:lncRNA